ACCAGGUUUGGGUCAGGCUCGCGACGUUAAACAAGCGCUACUAGGAGGCAACCUAGAUUUUCUUCUUUUACCCUUUGCAUUUUUAAAUUCCUAGAAUAGGUUGAAUUUUAAUUUUGGUGUGUAUUCUUGGCUUUAUUACUCGUUCUGAAAAUGUUUGACUAACUGAUGUGCAUGAUAGAUCUAUUUGAUGAUUAUUUGAUGUGGAAGAAAAUUGAGUUGUAAUGCAUGAUGUUAUCCAAGAAAUAGAUGGGUGAUGAAUUUAUGAUUGUGGUCAUGAUGCUAGGCAUGGUGUAUGAAUGAAUUUUGUGUGAGGAAGCAUGUGUGUGAGAUUUUGAGCUCCAGAGUUUUUAUUGUUGCAUGUAUUGUUCAUAGGAAAACAUGGAUGAUAUUGCCUUAAUCUUGACGAUCGAUUGAAUUGCAUGUAAAUGUCAUAUGAUCAAGGCUACUUUUGAAAACCCUUCUCUAGCCAAAUUUUCACCCAAAGUGUUUGAAAUAUUAUACCCUUUUUCAACCUUAGCCUUAAACAGGAUGUGAUCCCUUGUUUUGAAAUUNUUUACCUUGAGUUAGGAUGAGCUAACUUGUAUGUAAUGAAAAGGUUCAAGUUUGGGGUUGUACGGGGGAAAAUUGAAAAAGCAAGUGAAAGGCAUUGAGCUCAAUUGUUGUGAAAAGAGAAAAUUCAUGAGAAAAAGAAAAGAAAAGAAGAAAAGCAUGAAGAGCUCAAUGCAAAAGAAAGAGACAAGGGAAAAAUUGGGAAUGAGAGACAUUGGUGAGAGUGGUGCUUAAAUGUUGAAUAUUUUGUUAGCUCUCUUGAUUCAAGGAUUUUGCAUUCCAGAAAAACCAAUUCUUUCUUGUUAGCCCAACCUCAUUACAAGCCUUGGGAAAGUCCUUUUGAUGGCAUUUGCAUGUAAAGAUGUUGAUUGUUUGAGAUGAACGGCAAUUUUGUUUAUUGUUACUUGUGAAGAAUAGAGAGUUGGAGUGUCACCUUAAACACUUGAGUGAUUGAGUGAAACACUUGCUUGGUAUAAUUUGUUAAUUUUCAUAAAUACAUUUUUGCUUAGUGGAUUGAUCAUUCAUAGUAUAUAACAUCUAUUGUGCAAUCUCUGGGUUC
rnacentral:lncRNA from 1 species